AUACGGAGGGUGCAAGCGUUGUUCGGAUUUAUUGGGCGUAAAGCGAGUGUAGGCGGCUUAGCAAGUCGGAUGUGAAAUCCCAGGGCCCAACCCUGGAACUGCAUCCGAUACUGCGAAGCUCGAGUCCUGGAGAGGAUGGCGGAAUUCCGGGUGUAGAGGUGAAAUUCGUAGAUAUCCGGAGGAACACCAGUGGCGAAGGCGGCCAUCUGGACAGUGACUGACGCUGAGAUUCGAAAGUGUGGGGAGCAAACAGGAUUAGAUACCCCAGUAGUCC
rnacentral:rRNA from 1 species